rnacentral:rRNA from 1 species
GGUUAAGCGACUAAGCGUACACGGUGGAUGCCCUGGCAGUCAGAGGCGAUGAAGGACGUGCUAAUCUGCGAAAAGCGCCGGCGAGGUGAUAUGAACCUUUGACCCGGCGAUGUCCGAAUGGGGAAACCCAGUGCAAUUCGUUGCACUAUCGUUAACUGAAUACAUAGGUUAACGAGGCGAACCGGGGGAACUGAAACAUCUAAGUACCCCGAGGAAAAGAAAUCAACCGAGAUUCCCCCAGUAGCGGCGAGCGAACGGGGAGCAGCCCAGAGUCUGAAUCAGCUUGUGUGUUAGUGGAAGCGUCUGGAAAGUCGCACGGUACAGGGUGACAGUCCCGUACACGAAAGCACACAGGCUGUGAACUCGAAGAGUAGGGCGGGACACGUGGUAUCCUGUCUGAAUAUGGGGGGACCAUCCUCCAAGGCUAAAUACUCCUGACUGACCGAUAGUGAACCAGUACCGUGAGGGAAAGGCGAAAAGAACCCCGGCGAGGGGAGUGAAAAAGAACCUGAAACCGUGUACGUACAAGCAGUGGGAGCACCUUCGUGGUGUGACUGCGUACCUUUUGUAUAAUGGGUCAGCGACUUAUAUUCUGUAGCAAGGUUAACCGUAUAGGGGAGCCGAAGGGAAACCGAGUCUUAACUGGGCGUUAAGUUGCAGGGUAUAGACCCGAAACCCGGUGAUCUAGCCAUGGGCAGGUUGAAGGUUGGGUAACACUAACUGGAGGACCGAACCGACUAAUGUUGAAAAAUUAGCGGAUGACUUGUGGCUGGGGGUGAAAGGCCAAUCAAACCGGGAGAUAGCUGGUUCUCCCCGAAAGCUAUUUAGGUAGCGCCUCGUGAAUUCAUCUUCGGGGGUAGAGCACUGUUUCGGCUAGGGGGCCAUCCCGGCUUACCAACCCGAUGCAAACUACGAAUACCGAAGAAUGUUAUCACGGGAGACACACGGCGGGUGCUAACGUCCGUCGUGAAGAGGGAAACAACCCAGACCGCCAGCUAAGGUCCCAAAGUCAUGGUUAAGUGGGAAACGAUGUGGGAAGGCACAGACAGCCAGGAUGUUGGCUUAGAAGCAGCCAUCAUUUAAAGAAAGCGUAAUAGCUCACUGGUCGAGUCGGCCUGCGCGGAAGAUGUAACGGGGCUAAACCAUGCACCGAAGCUGCGGCAGCGACGCGUAUGCGUUGUUGGGUAGGGGAGCGUUCUGUAAGCCGUUGAAGGUGUCCUGUGAGGGGUGCUGGAGGUAUCAGAAGUGCGAAUGCUGACAUAAGUAACGAUAAAGCGGGUGAAAAGCCCGCUCGCCGGAAGACCAAGGGUUCCUGUCCAACGUUAAUCGGGGCAGGGUGAGUCGACCCCUAAGGCGAGGCCGAAAGGCGUAGUCGAUGGGAAACAGGUUAAUAUUCCUGUACUUGGUGUUACUGCGAAGGGGGGACGGAGAAGGCUAUGUUAGCCGGGCGACGGUUGUCCCGGUUUAAGCAUGUAGGCGGAGGUUCCAGGUAAAUCCGGUACCUUUUAACGCUGAGGUGUGAUGACGAGGCACUACGGUGCUGAAGUAACAAAUGCCCUGCUUCCAGGAAAAGCCUCUAAGCAUCAGGUAACAUCAAAUCGUACCCCAAACCGACACAGGUGGUCAGGUAGAGAAUACCAAGGCGCUUGAGAGAACUCGGGUGAAGGAACUAGGCAAAAUGGUGCCGUAACUUCGGGAGAAGGCACGCUGAUAUGUAGGUGAAGCCCCUGCGGGUGGAGCUGAAAUCAGUCGAAGAUACCAGCUGGCUGCAACUGUUUAUUAAAAACACAGCACUGUGCAAACACGAAAGUGGACGUAUACGGUGUGACGCCUGCCCGGUGCCGGAAGGUUAAUUGAUGGGGUUAGCGGCAACGCGAAGCUCUUGAUCGAAGCCCCGGUAAACGGCGGCCGUAACUAUAACGGUCCUAAGGUAGCGAAAUUCCUUGUCGGGUAAGUUCCGACCUGCACGAAUGGCGUAAUGAUGGCCAGGCUGUCUCCACCCGAGACUCAGUGAAAUUGAACUCGCUGUGAAGAUGCAGUGUACCCGCGGCAAGACGGAAAGACCCCGUGAACCUUUACUAUAGCUUGACACUGAACACUGGUCCUUGAUGUGUAGGAUAGGUGGGAGGCUUUGAAGCGUGGACGCCAGUCUGCGUGGAGCCGUCCUUGAAAUACCACCCUUUAAUGGCUGGUGUUCUAACGUAGACCCGUGAUCCGGGUUGCGGACAGUGUCUGGUGGGUAGUUUGACUGGGGCGGUCUCCUCCCAAAGAGUAACGGAGGAGCACGAAGGUUAGCUAAUCCUGGUCGGACAUCAGGAGGUUAGUGCAAUGGCAUAAGCUAGCUUGACUGCGAGAGUGACGGCUCGAGCAGGUGCGAAAGCAGGUCAUAGUGAUCCGGUGGUUCUGAAUGGAAGGGCCAUCGCUCAACGGAUAAAAGGUACUCCGGGGAUAACAGGCUGAUACCGCCCAAGAGUUCAUAUCGACGGCGGUGUUUGGCACCUCGAUGUCGGCUCAUCACAUCCUGGGGCUGAAGUAGGUCCCAAGGGUAUGGCUGUUCGCCAUUUAAAGUGGUACGCGAGCUGGGUUUAGAACGUCGUGAGACAGUUCGGUCCCUAUCUGCCGUGGGCGCUGGAGAAUUGAGGGGGGCUGCUCCUAGUACGAGAGGACCGGAGUGGACGCAUCACUGGUGUUCGGGUUGUCAUGCCAAUGGCACUGCCCGGUAGCUAAAUGCGGAAAAGAUAAGUGCUGAAAGCAUCUAAGCACGAAACUUGCCCCGAGAUGAGUUCUCCCUGACCCUUUAAGGGUCCUGAAGGAACGUUGAAGACGACGACGUUGAUAGGUCGGGUGUGUAAGCGCAGCGAUGCGUUGAGCUAACCGAUACUAAUGAACCGUGAGGCUUAACCUU